rnacentral:rRNA from 1 species
UUAAAGGGUGCGUAGGCGGAAUGAUAAGUUAGUGGUGAAAGCCCCCGGGAAACCGGGGAACUGCCAUUAAAACUGUCAUUCUUGAGUAUAGUUGAAGUGGGCGGAAUGUAUCAUGUAUCGGUGAAAUGCUUAGAUAUGAUACAGAACACCGAUAGCGAAGGCAGCUUGCUAAACUAUAACUGACGCUCAGGCACGAAAGCGUGGGGAGCAAACAGGAUUAGAUACCCUGGUAGUCCACGCCGUAAACGAUGAUCACUCGCUGUUGGCGAUACACAGUCAGCGGCUUAGGGAAACCUUUAAGUGAUCCACCUGGGGAGUACGGUCGCAAGAUUGAAACUCAAAGGAAUUGACGGGGGCCCGCACAAGCGGAGGAGCAUGUGGUUUAAUUCGAUGAUACGCGAGGAACCUUACCUGGGCUUAAAUGUUGGACGACAGUCCCCGAAAGGGGACCUUUCUUCGGAACGUCUAGCAAGGUGCUGCAUGGUUGUCGUCAGCUCGUGCCGUGAGGUGUCGGGUUAAGUCCCAUAACGAGCGCAACCCCUAUUCUUAGUUGCCAUCAGAUAAUGCUGGGGACUCUAAGAAAACUGCCUACGCAAGUAGUGAGGAAGGUGGGGAUGACGUCAAAUCAGCACGGCUCUUAUGUCCAGGGCUACAC